GGGGUUGACUGGUUUUGACAGCGUGUAGAAGUGGUGGGUAAGCGUGCGGAGCUUUGAAGUCUACGCUCCUUAAUAUCAGGCUUUAGCAAUUUUAAAUGGCGAAAAUAACUACGCUCUUGCUGCCUAAUCGAAGCACAGUAGAUUACGCUUAAUCGCCGCAA
rnacentral:tmRNA from 1 species